rnacentral:rRNA from 1 species
UUGGGCAGUGGCAAUGGUUUAUCAGCUAGAGCUGGCCCAGAACAGGUGCUGUAUGGCUGUCGUCAGCUCGUGUCGUGAGAAUGUUGGGUUAAGUCCCGCAACGAGCGCAACCCUCGCCCUUAGUUGCCAGCAUUUAGUUGGGCACUCUAAGGGGACUGCCGGUGAUAAGCCGAGAGGAAGGUGGGGAUGACGUCAAGUCCUCAUGGCCCUUACGGGCUGGGCUACACACGUGCUACAAUGGUGGUGACAGUGGGCAGCGAGACAGCGAUGUCGAGCUAAUCUCCAAAAUNCCAUCUCAGUUCGGAUUGCACUCUGCAACUCGAGUGCAUGAAGUUGGAAUCGCUAGUAAUCGCAGAUCAGCAUGCUGCGGUGAAUACGUUCCCGGGUCUUGUACAC